rnacentral:rRNA from 1 species
GGCGGACGGGUGAGGAAUACGUAGGAAUUUGCCUUAGAGCGGGGGAUAGCCCAGGGAAACUUGGAGUAAUACCGCAUGAUGUCGAAAGACCGAAGCAGGGGACCGCAAGGCCUUGCACUCUGAGAGAAGCCUACGUCUGAUUAGCUAGUUGGUAGGGUAAUGGCCUACCAAGGCGACGAUCAGUAACUGGUCUGAGAGGACGAUCAGUCACACCGGAACUGAGACACGGUCCGGACUCCUACGGGAGGCAGCAGUGGGGAAUAUUGGACAAUGGGCGCAAGCCUGAUCCAGCAAUGCCGCGUGUGUGAAGAAGGCCUUCGGGUUGUAAAGCACUUUAAGCAGGGAAGAAAAAACUCGGGCUAAUACUCUGAGUCUUGACGGUACCUGAAGAAUAAGCACCGGCUAGCUCUGUGCCAGCAGCCGCGGUAAUACAGAGGGUGCAAGCGUUAAUCGGAUUUACUGGGCGUAAAGCGUGUGUAGGUGGUUUGACAAGUUGGUUGUGAAAUCCCCGGGCUCAACCUGGGAACUGCUUCCAAGACUGUCAGACUAGAGUACGGUAGAGGGCGGUGGAAUUUCCGGUGUAGCGGUGAAAUGCGUAGAUAUCGGAAGGAACACCAAUGGCGAAGGCAGCCGCCUGGGCCUGUACUGACACUGAGACACGAAAGCGUGGGGAUCAAACAGGAUUAGAUACCCUGGUAGUCCACGCCGUAAACGAUGGGUACUUGACGUCGGCAUGCUCUGCGUGUCGGUGUCGUAGCUAACGCGAUAGGUACCCCGCCUGGGGAGUACGGCCGCAAGGUUGAAACUCAAGGAAUUGACGGGGGCCCGCACAAGCGGUGGAGUAUGUGGUUUAAUUCGAUGCAACGCGAAGAACCUUACCUGGCCUUGACAUGCUAGGAAUCCUGUAGAGAUAUGGAGUGCCCGUAAGGAACCUAGACCCAGGUGCUGCAUGCUGUCGUCAGCUCGUGUCGUGAGAUGUUGGGUUAGUCCCGCACGAGCGCAACCCUUGCCUAGUGCACAUUCAAGUUGAGCACUCUAGG